rnacentral:rRNA from 1 species
GACGAACGCUGGCGGCGUGCUUAACACAUGCAAGUCGAACGGAAAGGCCCUGCUUUUGUGUGUUGCUCGAGUGGCGAACGGGUGAGUAACACGUGAGUAACCUGCCCUGGACUUUGGGAUAACUUCAGGAAACUGGGGCUAAUACCGGAUAGGAGCUCCUGCUGCAUGGUGGGGGGUGGAAAGGUUCGGCGGUUGGGGAUGGACUCGCGGCGUAUCAGCUUGUUGGUGGGGUAGUGGCUUACCAAGGCUUUGACGGGUAGCCGGCCUGAGGGGGUGACCGGCCACAUUGGGACUGAGGUAAGGCCCAGACUCCUACGGGAGGCAGCAGUGGGGAAUAUUGCACAAUGGGCGGAAGCCUGAUGAAGCAACGCCGCGUGCGGGAUGACGGCCUUCGGGUUGUAAACCGCUUUCGCCUGUGACGAAGCGUGAGUGACGGUAAUGGGUAAAGAAGCACCGGCUAACUACGUG